GGAGGUGUCUUAAAGAUUUUUUUAGAGCCCAGAGAAGACUGUCCUUCUCCUUAGGUUUUAUUGCAAGGUCUCAAGUAAGCUAAGCAGUCUGCCCUGAACCAGCCAUCUAAAGCUAUCUUUAGCCCAUGCAAGCAAGUGAAUGGAAGAGCCCAACUUAUCUUCACUGCUGUCAUCAAGGCUGAUGGUAUUUUUAGGGGACAGCAGCAGCUGCAAAAGCAUUUAACGUUCUUCCACGAACAAUGACACUCGGGGUGUCUCAGGGUUGAACGCCACAGAGAUUGGGGGACCGUUCUGGAGUGUAGAAAGUGCGCUGAGGGGGAAAUACUCAAAUUCUCUUUACCUUUCUUGGAUGGGUCUGGCACAGGCCCGUCAAUAUGUACUAAAAGAUCACUUGGAAACUGUGAAAACAAAGCUCCACAUUGGUUGAUAUUUGAGAGAAAGAACCCCAACCGGAUUACAGUUGGUGUCGGGGAAAGAAUCGACCAGUAAGUGACAUUACUCAGCAGUUUGGAGGCGGAGAAUAUAGCCUCGGUGGCUUGAAGAAGAGUGCCAGUGCGGAAUGUAUGUUGACGGUCGCUCCUUGGGACCAAAGAGAGAACCUUAUACAGUUCAGAAGUGGGCAGCCCGACUCCUGUGAGGGAGCAACUGCAUGCUGGUGGCCUGCCUAUGGUGAGGUGAGGCUGGCAAACUAGCAGAGAUGGAUGUGUUUGGUGGUGCCCCACGUUUCCUGGCCUACCCUCGCCCCGUAGUAGUGCAGAGUGGCACUGACGCCGUCCUGAAGUGUCAGAUCGGCGGGGACCCCAGGCCAGCGGUCAUCUGGGAGCGAAACAACGAACAGAUCCACCCAGAGGGUCGCUACCGUUUCUUCGAGGAUGGAAAUGUCUACAAUCUCAUAAUUUCAUCGGUGACCACAGAGGAUAGCGGCCAGUACACAUGCAAGGCCAAGAACAGCAUCGGGGAAACAUAUGCCGCGGCGACCCUGAAGGUGGAGGGCGAGGCCCAAGAGAUGGAGCUCCGGGAGGAGAACAAGCCUCGUUUCCUGAUCAAGCCCCUCUCCACCCGGGUGGGCCGCGGCGAAGACGCCGUCUUCUCCUGUAAGCUGUGGGGAAACCCGCGGCCAGAGGUGGUCUGGGAAAAGGACGGGAGAAAACUCAACGAGAUCUUUGAGAGUACACAUUUCAAUGUGGGCUACCAGGACGGGGGAUGGUUCCAGCUUAAAAUCUUCAAGACUCGUGCACCUGACGGUGGAGUGUACACAUGCAAGGCCAGAAAUGAGUUUGGAGAGGGGUUGGCUGGAGCCGUUUUGCUCGUCGAUGCAGGCCCGGGUCACGAGGAAGAGGGAAACCGCAACGGUUACACAAACGGCCACUGGAAAGGUCAUCAAGGCAAACAGAGGAGUGGUAGGCAGCUGACCACACGGCUCAAAGACGACCCAGUGACCCACCAAGCCAAGCAAGUGAAAAUGUUUGCCGUGACAGAGGGCAAGCAUGCCAAAUUCCGCUGCUUUGUGACUGGGAAGCCCAAACCAGAAAUAAUAUGGAGGAAAGACGGCAGGCUGAUCAUGUCCGGAAGACGGUACCUGUUAUAUGAAGACAGGGAGGGUUACUUCACACUUAAAGUGCUGUAUUGUAAGCAACAGGACAACGGGGUUUAUGUUUGCGCUGCAUCCAACACUGCAGGUCAAACCCUCAGUGCUGUACAUCUCUCUGUGAAAGAGCCGCCUGUGCGGUUUAAGCAGCCCCUCAUUGAUCUGGAGGUGUGGGAACGGGACCUGGCUGUUCUGGAGUGUGAGGUUCCUGAGGACUCUGUUCCCAUCACAUGGUAUUUGGAGGACAGGCGGCUACAGCCAGGGGCCAAAUAUGGGAUGGAAGAGUGGGGAACAAAACGACGACUAACUAUUCGUGACAUCGGAGUCGACGACGAUGGGAUUUAUCUUUGCGAGAUGGCGGAUGGGGGGAGGAGCAUUGCUGAGGUGGCAGUUAAAGGCACAAUCGUGCGUAAGCUUCCACGUAAGGUGGAUGUUUUGGAGGGGGAAAAUGCUGCCUUCUGUGUUGAAGUGGAGGAGGAGGAAAUGGACAUACACUGGUACAAAGAGGGGACGGAGCUGCGUGAGACUCAUCAGACCAUCCUGAAGUCCUUUGGAAAAACUCACAUUCUGGUUUUUGUCAACACAACACCCCAGGAUUCUGGCCUUGUGACCUUCUUUGUGGGAAGAUCCAAAACUUCUUCUCAGCUGAGGGUAAAAGCGGCCAGGCAUAGCCCACCCAGCUGCCCAGUGGGUGUGCAGAUCAACACAGAGCGUGCCAACGCUGCCCUCCUCUCCUGGGUUCCGGCGCAGGACACCCGGAAGAACCCCCCAUCGGGUUACGUGUUGGAGAGGCAAGAGGUGGGCACCGGCUCUCAGGAGUGGCUGCAAUGCUUGACCACCGACUCUGCCACCUCAGUGGAGAUUCUUGGCGACAGCGUUCCCUGCGAGGCAGAUUAUCGCUUUCGCAUAUGCAGUGUCAACAAGUAUGGCAGGAGCAACAAUUUGGAGUUCCCAAGGGCAGUUCACCUGGUCCCUGUGACCAGAAUACAAGCCCCCCUACAGGAUGCCUUGGUGCCAGAAGGCCAGGAUGCCUGCUUCUCAAUUGAGCUCACUGCCUCAGUUAUUGGCUCAUGGUUCUUGAAUGGCACUCAGCUUCUGGAGGACGACCGUUACUCCAUGCGGCGGUCUCGAACGCACCAAUCCCUACGCAUACAAGGGGUACGAGACACAGACAAUGGGGCUGAGAUCACAUUCAUUGCCUAUGGAAUACGAGAUUCAGCAGCACUCUAUAUUCAAGCUCCUCUAGUGAAGUUCACACCACUGUCAGAGAUGGAUCGUAAUAAAUUUGUUGAACUUGGCAACCCCAUUGUACUCUACUGCGAGUUGUCAGACCCCGCAGUUCCAGUACACUGGUACAAGAAUGGGGUGGAGGUACACACAGUCGAGGGUCUUCAUAUUCAGUCAGAAGGCACAAUGAGGAGAAUUGUCAUCCAAUCGUCAGAGUUCUCCCACUCCGGAGUGUAUUGCUGUGAUGCCAUUGAUGAUGUCAUAAGGUUCAACGUGGAAGUUGAGGCUCCACCUGUGAGGUUUUCAGCACUUCCAGAAGCUGAGAGGAACAAGUCCGUUGAAGCAGGCUGCCCCAUUGUACUACAAUGUGAGCUCUCAGAUCCAACUGCCCAGGUGUACUGGUACAAGGAUGGAACAAAGCUCCUACCUCAAAGUGGAAUAGAAAUCCAGUCAGAUGGCAUCACAAGGACACUAGUUGUCCAGUCAGCAGAGAUAUUCUACUCUGGGUCGUACAGCUGCAAGACAAAGGGUGAUGCCAUCAAGUUCAAUGUGGACGUCAAAGUUCAGCCUGUGAGGUUCUCAGUACUUCCAGAAGCUGAGAGGAACAAGUCCAUUGAAGCAGGCUGCCCCAUUGUACUGAAAUGUGAGCUCUCAGAUCCAACUGCCCAAGUCUACUGGUACAAGGAUGGAACAAAGCUCUUUUCAAACCAUGAACUAGACAUCCAAUCAGAAGGCAACAUGAGGAUGUUGGUUGUUCAGUCAGCAGAACUGACUCACUCUGGCACUUACAGUUGUACCACAGUGGAUGAUACCAUGGAGUUCCAUGUGGAUAUCAAAGCUGUGCCAGUGACCUUCUCAGCUAUCUUUGAUGUUGAGAAGACCAAGUCGGUUGAAGCAGGCUGCCCUUUUCAACUGCAAUGUGAGGUUACAGAUCCCACUGCCCAGGUCUACUGGUGCAAGGAUGGGGAAAAGCUCCUCCCACAGACUGGAAUGGACAUCCAAUCUAAUGGCACCAUGAGGAGGCUCAUUGUCCAAUCAGCAGAGGUCUUUCACUCAGGGCUGUACAACUGUGAAACUUCUGACGACACUCUCCAGUUUACUGUGGAUAUCAAAGCUCCACCAGUGAAGUUCUUACCUUCACCAGAGGUUGUGAAGAGCCAGCUGCUUGAAGCAACCUGCCCCAUUGAACUACCCUGUGAGAUCUCAGACCCCAUUGCCCAGGUGUCACGGCAGAAGGACAAAGUAGAGCUCAUCUCUGACACUGGACCUUUCGAAAUGGAGGGCAUCAGGAGGAACCUGGUUGUCGAACCGGCACACCCCUCCAACUCUGGGGCGUAUUAUUGUGCGACAGCGGAAGAUGUUGCCCCGUUAAUUGUACAGAACCAAGCUCCGCCGAUGACAUACUUGGUUGCCCCUGAAGUUGAGAAGAACAAGUCCAUAGAAGCAGGCCUCUCAAUUGUACAACAGUUUGAGAUUUCAGACCCCAUUGCCCAGGUCUGCUGGCACAAAGAUGGAACACAGAUCUACCCAUAUAGUGGACUUGACAGACAAUCAAAGGGCAGCAUAAGGACUUUGUUCAUCCAACCAGAUGACAUGUCCUGUGGUGGGAGGUUUGACUGCCAAACAACUGGCGAUACCACACAAUUUAAUGUGGCCAUCAAAGCAGAGCUGUCUCACCCUGGCAGUGAGAAGGGUGAGAUAUCUGAUGAGUCUUCCCAAUACACUAUGGAUAUCAAAGCUACACCUGUGAGGGUCUCAGCUGACCAAGCGAUUGAGAAGAACAAGUCCAUUGAAGAGGUCUGCCCCGUUGAGGUUCACUGUGAGCCCUUAGACUCUACUGUCCAGAUCCUCCACUACAAGGACGGUCAACAUCUUCAAACAUAUGAAAUAUAUUCCAUGGAGAUGCCAAGACUCCAAUCUGUGGAGCACUUUUCCAUAGAGACACCAACUGUCCAACCAGCAGAACACUAUUCAAUGGAGACAGCAACUCUCCAUUCACCAGAGCUCUAUGGCUCCAUGGAGACAGCACCCUUCCAAUCAGCAGAGCUAUAUGGCUCCAUGCAGACACCAACUAUCCAAUCAGCAGAACUCUAUGGCUCCAUGCAGACACCAACUGUCCAAUCAGCAGAGCUCUAUGGCACCAUGCAUACACCAACUCACCAAUCAGCAGAGGUCUGUGGCUCCAUGCAGACACUAACUCUCCAGUCUGCAGAGCUCUAUGAUUCUAUGCAGACACAAACUCUUCAAUCAGCAGAGCUCUAUGGCUCCAUACAUACACCAACUCACCAAUCAACAGAGGUAUGUGGUUCCAUGCAAACACCAACUUUCCACUCACCAGAGGUCUGUGGCUCAAUACAGACACCAACUCUCCAAUCAGCAGAGCUCUGCUGCUCAAUGAAGACACCAACUCUCCAAUCAGCAGAGCUCUGUACCUCCAUGAAGACACCAACUCUUCAAUCAGCAGAGCUCUAUCAAUUAGGAGAAUGUGACAGUCAAUUGGAUGACGAUGACAUUGCAUUUAAGGUGGAUGUUGAAGCACCUCCUGUGAGGAUCACAACACCUUGUGAAGCUGAGAGGAACAAGUCCGUUGCAGCAGGCAGUCCCAUUGUCCUGCGUUGUGAGAUAUCAGACCCAAAUGCACAUGUUUCCUGGUACAAGGACGGAACACUGCUACAUGAAGAGAAUGGACUAGAAAUGCAAUCGAAAGGUUCCAUAAGGACAUUGGAUGUGGAAUCUGCAAGGCUGUCUGAUGCAGGGAGCUACAGCUGUAAGACAACAGAUGAUGCAAUGCAGUUUCAUGUGGAUGUGAAAGCUCCACCUCCGAAGUUUUCAGCAAUUUCUGAAGCUGACAAGAAAAAGUACAUCAAAUCAGGCUACCCCAUUGUACUGCAAUGUGAGCUCUCAGAUCCUACAACCAAGGUGAACUGGUACAAGAAUGGAACAAAGCUCCUAACCCAAAGUGGAGUAGACAUCCAAUCAGAUGGAACUAUGAGAACUCUAGUUAUCCAAUCAGCAGAGCUGUCUCACUCUGGAGUGUACCGUUGCGAGACAAUGGAGGAUGGCCUCCAAUUCACUGUGGAAGUAAAAGCUCCACCUGUGAGGUUCUCAGCACUUCCAGAAGCUGAAAGGAACAAGUUCAUUGAAGAUGGCUGCCCCAUUAUACUGCAAUGUGAGCUCUCAGAUCCAACUGCCCAGGUGUACUGGUACAAGGAUGGAACAAAGCUCCUAUCUCAAAGUGGAAUGGACAUCCAGUCAGAUGGCAUCAAAAGGACACUACUCAUCCAAUCAGCUGAAAUAUCACAUGGUGGAACAUAUGAGUGCUCAACAGCCGGUGAUAUCAUCACAUUUAAAGUGGAGAUCAAAGCUCCAUCACAGAAGAUCAUGCCACUUUCACCAAUGGAGAGGAACAAGUCCGUAGAAAUUGGCACUCCCAUUGUACUGCAGUGUGAGCUCUCAGAUCCUCUAGCCCAGGUCUGCUGGUCUAAAGAUGAAAUGAAACUAUUUCCCAAAACUGGCCUCGAUAUCCAAAGUGAAGCCAAUGUGAAGAGACUAGUAAUUCACUCUGCGGAGCUCUCUGACUCUGGGCUCUACUGCUGUAGUCUUGCUGACGAUGCCAUGACAUUCAAGGUGGAUGUUCAAGCUCUUCCCGUGAGGUUUUCAGCACUUCCAGAAGUUGUGAGGAACAAGUUCAUUGAAGCAGGCUGCCCCAUUGUUCUACAAUGUGAGCUCUCAGAUCCAACUGCCCAGGUGUUCUGGUACAAGGAUGGAACAAAGCUCCUCCCAGAGAAUGGAGUCGACAUCCAAUCAGAAGGCGCUUUGAGGGCUGUGAUCCUCCAAUCAGCGGAGCUCAGUCACUCUGGGGUGUACAGCUGUGAGGCUUUAGAUGACUGCAUAGCAUUCAAGGUGGAUGUUGCAGCACCUAUAGCUCCACCAGUGAGGUUCUCAGCUGCCCCAGAGGUUGAGAGGAACACGUCCAUUGAAGCAGGCUGUCCUAUUGUACUGAAAUGUGAGCUCUCAGACCCCAGUGGACAGAUCUGCUGGUACAAGGAUGGAAUAAAGCUCCUCCCACAAUAUGGAAUACACAUCCAAUCAGAGGGCACCAUGAGGACCCUGGUUAUCCAAUCAGCCACAUUUUCAAGCUCUGGGGUGUACAGUUGUAAAACAGCAGAUGAUAUCAGCGAAUUCUAUGUGGAUGUGAAAGCACCUCCGGUGACGUUUGUUGAUAUCCCUGAGGAAGACCUCUUCAAAAGUGUUGUGGAACAAGAUAGUCUUGUUAUGUCCUGUGAGGUUUCCAGGGUUGACGCCAUUGUCCAGUGGUACAAAGAUGGGGUUGAAACGCAGUCUAGUGACAACGUUUCUGUACAAGCAGAUUGCACUGUUAGGAUGCUGACCAUCCAGUCAGCUCAGCUGUCAGACUCUGGGACAUACACAUGUCGUGCCGGAGACAGAGCUUUAAUGUUCAAGGUUAACAUACGAGAGCCACCAGUGAUGAUUGUAUACCCUAAAGAAGAUGUCCACCUUGAUCGGCAUGUGCCGGAGGAGAUCAUUCUCAGCUGUGAACUCUCACGUCUAAAUGGUGUCGUAAACUGGUUCAAGGAUGGGCAAAAGUUGCAAGAAAGCGAAAACAUUAAACUUAAGAUUGAGGGCCCUUACAGGCGACUGAAGAUUCUUUGUAGUGGAGUUGAAGACUCUGGCGAAUAUGUCUGUGACACGGCUGAUGAUUCAAUAUUCUUUAAUCUCAGCAUAACAGAGCCUCCAGUACAAAUUAUAUCUCCAAGCCAGUCGCAAAUGGAGCUCUGCCAGCAAACAUCUGAGAGGAUGGUGUUGAGCUGUGAGAUCUCAAGGCCCAAUGCUGUGGUGCGCUGGUAUAGGGAUGGGCUUGAGGUGGAGGAAAAUGACAACCUCAUCUUAGAGGUGGAUGGGGUCUACAGGAGACUCAUUAUACCUGAGACCACAGUCAAAGAUUCAGCCGAAUAUGUGUGCGAUACGGCUGAUGACAACAUGACGUUCUUUGUCAACAUUGCAGAUCCUCCUGUCCGUUUUGUGCGCCCAAGAAAGAUGGCAAGUCGGGUCGAGAUGUUUGUUGGAGAUUCUUUGGUUCUUGACUGUGAGGUGUCCAGAUCAAAUGCUGCGGUAAGCUGGAAGAAGAAUGGGGAGGAAAUGGAAGAGAGCAGCAAUGUCACCGUUAUUGAGGAUGGUGUCAUGCGGCAAUUAACCAUCCACUCCAUGACAUUGGAGGAUGCUGGGCAAUAUGUCUGUGACGCCAAGGAUGAUGUGAUGGACUUCCAGGUCAAGAUAAAAGAGACACCUGUAAAGAUCCUGGGCAAAAAUGAUGUGAAUACUCAAAAGCAGUUCUUCACAUCAGAUGACAUUGUCUUAGGGUGUGAGCUUUCAAGAGCCAACUGCAUGGUCGUCUGGUACAAAGACAACAAAAAAAUUGAUGACAAUGAGCGCUACUGUAGUGAGGAGCAGGGUGUUUUCCGUUCACUGGUGGUUUUAAAUGCUGAGAUCGACGACUCUGGAGAGUACACCUGUGAUGCCGGAGAUGAUAAGAUGGUGUUCUGUAUCACCGUGAAAGAACCCCUUGUGACCAUCAUAGGCAACUCGGGUAACCCAGAACAUCAUAGCCUGGUAGCAGGCGACAAACUCAUCUUGGAGUGUGAGAUAUCUUGUCCAAAUGCCACUGUCCAGUGGCUCUGGAAUGGAAAGUUACUGAGUUCAGACGCUCGCACCCACAUAGACAGUGACGGUGCCACCAGGAAACUUGUUUUGUCAGAACUUCAGCCCUCGGACUCUGGAGAGUACAUAUUGGAUGCCAUCAAUGACAAAAUGGUAACCAUAGUUGAGGUCCAAGAGCCCCCAGUCAAGUUUGUGAAUAAACAAGCCAGAACCAACAUCUCUGGCUACGAAAAUGAAAGUGUGACACUGUGUGCCAUGGUGAACCGGGAGCAAGCCUAUGUGCGAUGGCUUAAAGAUGGUGAACUAUUGAAUGGGGAUAAUAUUCACAUCUCCAGUGCGGGUAAAAUGCACACCCUCACCAUCAACCCCCUGAAACUAUCAGAUAGUGGUGGGUUUGUCUGUAACAUCAACACGGAUGAAAUGUAUUUCAUUGUCCAGGUCAAAGAAAUGAAAGUGAAAUUCUCCAGACCUCUGGAGAAUAUCGUUGCCCUGAAGGACAGUACCCUUACCCUGAGGUGUGAGGUCAACAAACCUAAAGGAGAUGUUCAGUGGCUCAAAGAUGGCCAGGAGAUUAAGCCCAGCCGUCAACAUACGAUAAGGGCACAGGGUCGGGAGCGAAGCAUCACUAUCCACCAGCUAAUGCUAGACAAUGCUGGGGAAUAUGCCUGUGAAUCCACAGAUGAUAGGACUUUUGCCACCGUUGGUGUAGAAAUGCCUCCACCUAUUGUCGAGUUUAUUGCAGAGCUACACAAUAUCACUGUACUGGAGGGGGAAGAUGCUACAUUUAAGUGUGUGGUUUCGCCAGAGGACACACUGCUAGUGUGGAGCCUCAACGGCCGGCCUAUAGCUCCAAAUGAGAGGUUUGUCAUUUCAAGUAAUGGACUGUGCCACAUGCUGUGCAUUUACAACUGCCAGGUCUCAGACUGUGCCACGGUGACUGCCGAGGCAGAAGGGCUGGUGUCUGAGGCAAACCUCCAGGUUCAAGAACAACAAGUGUUGUUCACCAAAAACAUGGUGCCCGUUGUGGCUGAGCAAUUCGGGGAGGCUACCCUGGAGGUGGAGGUGGGUCUUGACUCUGGAGAGGUGCAAUGGAUGAGGCAGGGUGUAGUCAUCCACCCGGGGCCAAAGUUCACCUUGAAGCAAAAGAGCCGGAGACGGAGCCUCACCAUCCACAAGCUUGCCCUUUCUGACCGGGGCACCUACAGUUGCGAAACUCUUCACGACCGCACACAAGCCCAACUCAUCGUGGAACCCAGAAAAAUUACAAUUCGGAGAGGACUCACUGACAUCCAAACCAUUCAACGUGAAACAGCAUCCUUCGAGGUGGAGCUGUCGCACAGCAAUGUAGAAGCCACUUGGCUAAAGGAUGGGAACCAGCUAAAGCCCAACAACCACUGGCGCAUGAGUGCCAAAGGGUGUGUCCACAGCCUCACCAUCUCCAACCUCACCUUGGACGACACAGGCACAUUUGUGUUAUCUGCGGAAAAUGUGAAAUCAUCUGCAAGGCUCAUUGUUAAAGAGCCACCAGUGACAGUCAUUAAAAAACUGGAGGACUUGCGCUUUCCAGAAGCAGCUGUGGCAUCAAUGGAUUGUGAGCUAUCAAGGCCUCAUGUUGAAGUGAAAUGGAUGAAGAAUGGGAUCGAGGUGAAACCACGCAAGGAUUUGCGUAUUUAUGCUAUGGGAAGAAAACACUACUUCCAAAUCCUGAAGUGUGAAGUCAGUGAUUCUGGCACAUACUCAUGUGACGCUGGAGACUCCAGUACAUCCUGCAAUAUAGAGGUCUACGGGAAAAUGGCGUGUGAAAUAUUCAAACGGGAGCUUGUGGUUCUGCAAGGCUUGAAGGACCUGGACAUACAGGAGGACCAGAAUGCUGUGUUUGUAGUUGAGAUCUCCCUGGAGGAUGUGCCUGGAGAGUGGUUAAAAAAUGGAGUGAGAAUUACACCAACCAGCACCAUCAAGAUCCGCCAGGAAGGGACCAAGCAUUUUCUUCUAAUGUGCAAUGUGAGAGGAGAGGACUCCGGAGAGAUCAAGUUUGUCGCCAAACACGUGGAAUGCACAGCCUAUCUGGAGGUGGAGGAGCUUCCGUUGAACAUAACAACCCCUCUCCAGGACAAGGUAGCUCUUGAGAGGAGUCGUGCGAUCAUGGACUGCUCAGUAUCCAACCCUCGGUGCAGUAUCCGCUGGUACAAAGGCAGCAAUGUCAUCCUGCCCUCAGAGCGCUUUGAGAUCUGCAGUGAGGGCUGCUAUCGCAAGCUGGUCAUUCAACAGGUGGCACUGGAUGAUGAGGGAACCUACAGUGUGCAGGUUGGAGAGCACACAUGCUCUGCGAAACUGACUGUCGAAGCCCAGUCUCUCCUGAUGGUGAGGGAACUGAAGAGCGUGGAGGUGGUGGCCCCGGAUGAGGCCUGCUUCGAGUGUGAGGUCUCGGUCCCCAUCCUCAAAGCCCCCGUGUGGAGCCUGAAGGGGGAGGCCCUGCAGCAGGGGCCCAAAGUCAGCCUAGAGAAGAUUGGCAUGGUCCACCGCCUCACCCUCCGACAGACCUCUGUUGACAUGAACGGCUUGGUGGAGUUCACAUCAGGAAAAGCCAAGAGCAGCGCCGAGCUCCACGUCAGGAGUAGGCAAACCCUUUAACUUCUACAUGUGAUUUGGCAUAACAGCGGCACAUGGCGAGAGAAGUGUGACAUACUGUGAUCCUUGACAGACGCAGUAUCGUUGUGAUGCAGUGUCAACAUCAGAAUGAGAUGGAUCGAUAUUUUAUUCACCAAUUUAUUUGUGUUCAUAUUUGUCAUGUUAAAUUGGAAUGUAUGGAAUAGAAUUGUAAGAUAUUUCCUGUCUUUAAAAAGGGGGUGAAUAUUUUGUCAAAGUUAACAAUAUGUUAUUGAAAUAUUUUGUAUAAUUAUUUCCCAAUGCAGAUACCCCUACUCACUUGAAACAAUGUCCUCUAAAGAGGCUCUAGGUAAAUAUCAACCAACAUAAGUACAGAGUUGACUAAAUUGUCUCUCUGAAUACGAGCAUGUGCUUAAUCCAUAAAAUGUCAUGUAAUAUAAACAUUUUAUGUAAUAUAAAAAUGUGUUCUAAAGUCAAUCGUAAAAUACAGUUGGAGAAUGCAAUUGAUUACAGGCGUGGGACCGAAUCCUAACUUGAGAUCCAUGUUUGAGUGGAAUUUGCUUGCAAAUCUCACAUAGAUAUGAAUGCAUGCUUUAUGCAAAAGUCUGAGUUGUGCACUGGCAUCCUAUGUCAGAAUUUGGGCCAUAAUGGUUACUUAUAGCAAGUAUUGAGAAACUGUAAGUUGUUUAGAAGCGACGAAUCCUAACAUGAGCUACCAACUUUUUCACAUAAAUCUCCCUUUGACAUCAAUGCAUUUAUCCAGAACUUUGAGAUACAUUUUUCUCAAGUUAGGAUUCAGUCCUAAGUUUAAAAAGGUUCUUAAAAGGUUCCAUUAGUUAUUUUUACUUUAAGUGUCCAUUUAUUCAGUCAGUCAAGCUGUUUGAGGAACAGCGCCGUUCUCGCUCUCAAAUUUCUUUAUCAUCAUCACUUAUAAUUGCAUCAUUUCAUUUGUAUUUUUCAUCACGUGUCCACUGUAUAAACAUAGUUUUUUACAUUUUGAAGUUGUUUUGUUGGAGGCAGAAAAUCAAGCUACUAUGACGAAUGGGUUCUGUCAAGUAGUAUUGGGCUUGUAAUAUAAAUACAUUGGGCCAAAAUUGGUUAAUUUAGAAAGGUAGUUUAUAUUGAUCAUUUUAUUAGAUUAUAUUCAAGUUUAAAUGCAGAGUUACCUGAGUAAUAUAUAUUGUAUUGAAUAAUUAAUGAAUAUGGUUUUCAUAUGAAGUGAAGUCAGUUCCCUAUUCCUUUUUCUUUUCAAUUUCAUUUGUUUCCAACACCCCCUGCAUUGUAUUCAAUUGCUCCAUUAGUGUAUGCAGGAAUAAUUUUAAUGGGAUAUUACCUCUUUCAAUAAAUCAUGCUUUAUUAUGGUAAAGUA